rnacentral:misc_RNA from 1 species
CAAAGAACUUGUUUUAGAUUAGUUCUUGCAGAAAUCAGCUUCUGUUUCUUCUCUUUUCAGCAACCCAGCAGGGCUGGAUCAGGAUUUCAGAGAUCAGGGGUUUUGUUUCUUUGCAUUUAGUUCUAGUCGGAGAAUGGUGGGAUCGGAGAGUGAGAAGAAGAGCAGGACUGAGGGAAAGCCAUGGAGAUGGAUUAUGAUUGGUGCCGUC